rnacentral:rRNA from 1 species
UACGUAGGUGACCAGCGUUGUCCGGAUUUACUGGGCGUAAAGAGCGCGCAGGCGGUCGUUCAAGUCGAGUGUGAAAGCCCCCGGCUCAACUGGGGAGGGUCAUUCGAUACUGAUCGACUCGAAGGCAGGAGAGGGAAGCGGAAUUCCCGGUGUAGUGGUGAAAUGCGUAGAUAUCUGGAGGAACACCGGUGGCGAAGGCGGCAUCCUGGACCGAGAUUGACGCUGAUGCGCGAAAGCCAGGGGAGCAAACGGG